GCGAGCUUGGCGGAAUGGUAGACGCACAAGACUUAAAAUCUUGAGUCCGAAUGGGCGUGCGGGUUCGAGUCCCGCAGCUCGCACCA
rnacentral:tRNA from 1 species